GCAGAGAACGUUUCUUGAUCAUUUCAGUAUCAUGGCACAUUUGUGAUGUAAAUAGCUACUUAUGAGAUGUUUGGCAAGUGGAUAAAUGUGGACUUGGCACGCCUAUUUGGACAGUCUGCCAAUCUCAAACCUGUUAUGCAUAUGCACGGGUUUCUAACACAGAGUUUAAAGUCUGCAUCUCCUUUCACUGAUGUAUUCAUUCAGCAAAAACGUGUCCGGUGAAUAACUUCUACCUGCCAAGCACUGUGC
rnacentral:lncRNA from 1 species